rnacentral:lncRNA from 10 species
AUGUACACAUCUGCUUAUUACUCUCAAAUAAUUUCUUCUUUCACCUUAUUAUUUCUCAAAUCUUUCCUUCUUUUCCCUCUCCAUAGAAGAAGUUCCAGAAAAUUUAAAAAUCUUUUCAGAAAAGACAGUACACUGAGCAGGAUUUGCACAUCAAGAAAAAGUAGAGACAGGAGAUGGGAGUCAAGUGUUUGGAGCGGGGGUAGAGAAAAGAUUAGGCUGGAAGGGGUAUUGGGCCAGGUGUGGGAGUGUACAGAUCUGUGUGUGUGUGUUUGUGUGUGUGUGUGUUUGGUGUGUAACAUUCUCACUGAAGAUUUACUUGAAAAACUCCAGCUCUGUCUAGCCUGGAUUAACAGAAUGAUGUUUGGGGCAGGUUGGGGGCUUGGGGGCAGGAGACCCCGGAAUGGGAUGUGGUGUUGGCAGCUGGGCUGUUGGGCAGGUGAGAUGAGCUGCAGAAGGAGCAGGGCUCUGGUUCCCAUGCUCGUCCGUCCUGCUGGCAUGGAGCUUCCUCCAGGCUGUGGGGUGGGUGUGGUAGGUGGGGCUUCCUUCCUUCCCCAGACUAGCCCAGCAAUUCCCCAGGAAGCCAGGCCUCUGCUAGUGCUUCUUUCUGCACCUCUACAGGGAGAGUUACCCUGUCUGCACCAAGGAUGGGGACAGCAGAGGAAUCUCACAGGCCAGAUCUCAGAACCUUCCCUGGAAAUGAGGAAGUGGCAUGUCACCGCCCAGUACCUUAGGAAGGCCCUGCCCUGUCAGUCAGAGAUGGCAUCUUGGGUGGCCACUCCCUGAGUGGAGGAAGAGAGGGUUCUGUGCAGGGAGCUUCCUUGGUGGAUCAUGGGGUAAGU